rnacentral:lncRNA from 1 species
UCAUCAACUAUGGAGUUGGGAAAACAUGUGGACAUGAAUUGUGAUAACUGCAGUGGCCAAAACAAGAACAAGUUUGUGCUCUGAUAUUGUGCCUGUUGAACAAUGCACAAGCUCCACCACAAUCUGUACUUUCACUUCCUGAUUACAGGCCACACCAAGUUUUACCCCGACUGGUUCUUCGGCCUCAUCAAACAGCACUUCAGAAAGACCAGAGUGAACACUUUGUCUGAGAUUGUUGGUGUUGUGAAGGACAACACUCUGACAGGGCUCAACAUCCCACAGCUGAUUGGACUGGAGGAUGGUACGGUGCUGGUGGAAAGCUAUGGCUGGCAACAACACCUCACUCCGUACUUCAGGCCACUGCCACAGAUCAAGCAGUACCAGCACUUCAGCUUUGAUGCUGCGCAACGCUGACAUCCUUCCUCCCAUACAUGGUCUGCCUGUAAAAGCACCACCUGGACUGGACACAGCAAGACAAACUAACUUUUUGACAAGAUAAAGGAGUUUUAAGACGAAUAGGCUAUGGACAUCACAUGCCCUGCACCAAAGUCAAGGGCAGGACAGAAACAGGCUCUCAGAAUAUAGAUUCCCUUCAUGCGUGGUUUGGACGGACCAGUCAUCAGCACUAUCUGCAGUGCCUCUACUCACAUGACUCUCUCCUAACACACACACUAUACGUUGCUGCUACAAUUGUUUGGUUUAUCCCGCUGCUCAGCCACUUUAUCCCUGAUUGUAUGCAUAUAACAACCUCGUCUAUCACUGAUAUCGUUAUUGAUGUUGUUCUUGUACAUAAUUUAUAGUUUAUUUGUAUCUAUUUCUGAUAUUGUGAUAGCUGUACAUUACUUCUCUAUUUCUAUUUUUGGCAACUUUUACUUCACUACAUUAGUAAAGAAAAUAAUGUACUUUUUACUCCAUACAUUUUCCUUGACACACAAAGUACUCGUUACAUUUUGACAGGAAAAUUGUCCAAUUCACACACUUAUCAAGAGAACAUCCCUGGUCAUCCCUACUGCCUCUGAUCUGGCAGACUCACUAAACAGAGAUGCUUUGUUUGUAAAUUAUGUCUGAGUGUUGGUGUGUGCCCCUGGCUCGCCGUCAAUAAAAAUAAUACAAUUGUCCUGUCUGGUUUGCUUAAUAUAAGACAUUUUAAGUGGUUUAUAUUUUCACUUUUGAUGCUUGAGUACAUUGUGCCCCUGGCUUUCCCUCA